UGAGAGUUCAAGAGUACGUGAAACCGCUUAGAGGCAAACGGGUGGACCCGCAAUACGUCGACCCGGGGGAUUCAACCAGGCCGUGCGUUCGGGACGCGUGGGGGUUAUGCGGAGCUGUAAAGCCCGUGCCUUUGCGUGGGUCUCCGGGCGGACUGGUGCACUUUCCUCGGGUUGAUUGCCACGACCGGCUCUCCGCGCGGCCAUAAGCCUGUUGCUGGUAAGGUGACCGUCGGCCCCAGCGCCGGCGGUGUUAUAGACCAGCUUGUUCGUUGCGCUCGUCGGAGGGCCGAGGAAGUUGCCGUUUCUCAGCACCCUCUGGCCAUCCUUGCUCGUCACGACUGGGGUGAACUGCUUCGCCAGUGCUCUCCCGACCGCGAGCGUAGGAAGGGCUGGUACGGUGCGAGGAUGCUUCGGGCCAGUGGCGAAUCGGUCGGUCCUCCACCCGACCCGUCUUGAAACACGGACCAAGGUCUAACAA
rnacentral:rRNA from 1 species